rnacentral:tRNA from 1 species
GGGAGGGUAGCUCGGAGGUGGAGCGUUUGUCCAACAUGCACGAGCCCCUGGGUUCAAUUCCCACUCCUCCCU